rnacentral:misc_RNA from 1 species
GGAAGGAUCAUUAACAAAAAUUUGAACUAAUAACUAACUGAACCUUUAGUGUAGGGAAACCUACACUACUUUAAACGAGUUUAUAAAAUCAUAAACUAUUCAAAUGGUUGAUAAAACUUAAAUUUUCAACGAUGGAUGUCUUGGCUCCCAUAUCGAUGAAGAACGCAGCAAGAAUGCGAUAUGCAAUGUGAAUUGCAGAACCAUGAAUCAUUGGAUCUUUGAACGCAACUGGCGCUGGUUAUACCAGCAUACUUGUUUCAGUGUGCUUAAACACUCAAAAAUAUAAAUGUGAGAGAAAAUCUCUCAUGAAAUUAAUGCUCUCUGCAGCUGUCACAUUAAUUUGUGUGCUAAAGAAGAGGUUUAUGCCAUAUUCGCACCUGAAAUCAAGUAAGAUGACCCGCUGGACUUAAGCAUAUUACUAAGCGGAGGAAAAGAAAUUAACAAAGAUUGCCUUAGUAAGGGCGACUGAACCGGCAAAAGCUCGAAAUUGUAAACGGAGGUUCAAUGAAUCUUCGAAUUGUAAUCAGAUCCGCCUAAAUACGAGAGAUCGCUUAAGCAUGUCGAAACGUGCGCCAGGGAGGGUGAAAGCCCCGUGUAGCGUUUUCUCGCGUAAGGGGGGUCGAACAAGAGUCGGGUUGCUUGGAACUGCAGCCCUAAGUGGGAGAUAUGAAUCUUCCAAAGCUAAAUAUGGAUGGGAGACCGAUAGCAAACAAGUACUGUGAAGGAAAGAUGAAAAGGACUUUGAAAAGAGAGUGAAAAGAUCUGAAAUCGUUGAGAAGGAAGCGGUAGAAACUGAUGGUCGUGCUGAUAGACUACGCGGUUAAAAGCUGCGGACGUCUAACCAGAGCGACGGGCAAAAUCAAGUCGAAAGCGUCAAAAAAGGCUUUGCCGGACAGGACGUUUUCGGCUUGAGGGACUAUUGUGAUUUUGCCAAAAUGGUUUUUACUGUCCCGUCUUGAAACACGGACCAAGGAGUCUAACAUAUAUGCGAGUGUGCGAGUGGAGAAACUCAUACGCGGAAUGAAAGUAAAAGGUGCGCAGCCGUAAAAAGCAGCAGCAUCGACCGACCUAGUACGAAAGGUUUGAGUAAGAGCAUAUCUGUUAGGACCCGAAAGAUGGUGAACUAUGCCUGAGUAGGGUGAAGUCAGGGGAAACCCUGAUGGAGGCUCGUAGCGCUGUUGACGUGCAAAUCACUCGUCAAACUUGGGUAUAGGGGCGAAAGACUAAUCGAACCAUCUAGUAGCUGGUUCCCUC